rnacentral:misc_RNA from 1 species
ACAGAAGCCAGAGAGUGCCAGA